rnacentral:rRNA from 1 species
GACGUUCAACCGCAAAACAAGCAGAGGGGGCUUAGUGGUGGGGUGACUGCGUACCUUUUGUAUAAUGGGUCAGCGACUUAUAUUCUGUAGCAAGGUUAACCGAAUAGGGGAGCCGGAGGGAAACCGAGUCUUAAUUGGGCGUUAAGUUGCAGGGUAUAGACCCGAAACCCGGUGAUCUAGCCAUGGGCAGGUUGAAGGUUGGGUAACACUAACUGGAGGACCGAACCGACUAAUGUUGAAAAAUUAGCGGAUGACCUGUGGCUGGGGGUGAAAGGCCAAUCAAACCGGGAGAUAGCUGGUUCUCCCCGAAAGCUAUUUAGGUAGCGCCUCGUGAAUUCAUCUCCGGGGGUAGAGCACUGUUUCGGCUAGGGGGCCAUCCCGGCUUACCAACCCGAUGCAAACUGCGAAUACCGGAGAAUGUUAUCACGGGAGACACACGGCGGGUGCUAACGUCCGUCGUGAAGAGGGAAACAACCCAGACCGCCAGCUAAGGUCCCAAAGUCAUGGUUAAGUGGGAAACGAUGUGGGAAGGCCCAGACAGCCAGGAUGUUGGCUUAGAAGCAGCCAUCAUUUAAAGAAAGCGUAAUAGCUCACUGGUCGAGUCGGCCUGCGCGGAAGAUGUAACGGGGCUAAACCAU